GACGAACCGUGCGAACGUUGUUCGGAAUUACUGGGCGUAAAGGGCUCGUAGGCGGCCAACUAAGUCGGAUGUGAAAUCCCCAGGCUCAACCUGGGAACUGCAUCCGAUACUGGAUGGCUUGAAUCCGGGAGAGGGAUGCAGAAUUCCAGGUGUAGCGGUGAAAUGCGUAGAUAUCUGGAGGAAUACCGGUGGCGAAGGCGGCAUCCUGGACCGGCAUUGACGCUGAGGAGCGAAAGCUAGGGGAGCAAACAGG
rnacentral:rRNA from 1 species